rnacentral:rRNA from 1 species
UACGGAGGGUGCGAGCGUUGUCCGGAAUCACUGGGCGUAAAGGGCGCGUAGGUGGCGCGGGAAGUCAACGGUGAAAGUUCGGGGCUCAACCCUGAAUCGGCCGUCGAUACUCCCGGGCUCGAGCACUGUAAAGGCAGAUGGAAUUCCGGGUGUAGCGGUGGAAUGCGUAGAGAUCCGGAAGAACACCGGUGGCGAAGGCGGUCUGCUGGGCAGUUGCUGACACUGAGGCGCGACAGCGUGGGGAGCAAACAGG